rnacentral:rRNA from 1 species
GGCGGCAAGAUAGCCAUUUAGAGGAACCUGCCCUGUAAACGAUGAACCACGAUUUACCCUACUUUUAUUUGAAUUCAGUUUGUAUACCGCUGUUGCCAGUCAGUUUCUUUAGAAAACUUUCGAUAAUGAAAAAAUCAUAGACUUCAAGUAAAGGUGCAGCUCAUAUAAAAGAUAGAGGUGGGUUACAUUUAGGAGAAUAACACGGAUAAAGUUUUUUAAAUAACUUUUGAAGGUGGAUUUAAAUGUAAAGUUUAUAAGAACUUGAUGGGAGCUCUGUCUUGUGUACACACCGCCCGUCG